rnacentral:misc_RNA from 1 species
AUAUCAGAGCAUACAUGCAGAAAAACAGUAAACGGUGGGUAGACGGUUUACCCCACCCGUGUCUAUAUACUCUUCCCCUUUUGACGGGCCGUGGCCUCCACUGCGGGCUCUGCUCGCGAGUGCCCGCCAGAGAACCAAACUCUGAAUGUUAGUGAUGUCUGAGUACUAUAUAAUAGUUAAAACUUUCAACAACGGAUCUCUUGGUUCUGGCAUCGAUGAAGAACGCAUCGAAAUGCGAUAAGUAAUGUGAAUUGCAGAAUUCAGUGAAUCAUCGAAUCUUUGAACGCACAUUGCGCCCUGUGGUAUUCCGCAGGGCAUGCCUGUUCGAGCGUCAUUUAACCAAUCAAGCCUAGCUUGGUAUUGGGGCACGUGGUUCCGCGGCCCUCAAAAUCAGUGGCGGCGCCGGUGGGCUCUAAGCGUAGUACAUACUCCCGCUAUAGAGUUCCCCCGGUCGCUCGCUAGAACCCCCUCAUUUUUACAGGUUGACCUCGGAUCAGGUAGGGAUACCCGCUGAACUUAAGCAUAUCAAUAGCCGGAGGAACAGGA